UACGUAGGGUGCAAGCGUUGUCCGGAAUUAUUGGGCGUAAAGAGCUCGUAGGCGGUCUGUCGCGUCUGCUGUGAAAACUCAGGGCUUAACCCUGAGCUUGCAGUGGGUACGGGCAGACUAGAGUGCGGUAGGGGAGACUGGAAUUCCUGGUGUAGCGGUGAAAUGCGCAGAUAUCAGGAGGAACACCGAUGGCGAAGGCAGGUCUC
rnacentral:rRNA from 1 species